AUACUGAACCUGGCAGGGGAGACACCUUGAUCAAGAUUGUUUUCCCAGAGUGAGGCUUCUCCAUUGUACUGGGGAUGAGCCCACCUACGCCGUUUCCCCAGCUGCAGAAAACUCAGAGCAGACUUGGAGGUAGUUGGGGACUUUUCACACCUCCCCCUU
ensembl:snRNA U1 U1 spliceosomal RNA